CCUUCGGUGAUGAACAGCAAUGCUGAAGUGGCCCAAGCGCUGAUUUAUCUCAUCAUGCAACACAGACUUUUCCACACCAGAAGCAAGUGCCUCACUACGUAGACCAGCCUGACCUGGAACUCACCGAGAUCAGCCUACUUCUGCCCUUUCAGUACCGGGACUAAAGGCACGAGCCACCACACCCAAGCCUGCCCUGGCUAUUGAAUUUUGGCUUUACAGAUGGGAGCCACCUUGCACAACUCUGCCUUCCUUCCACACCCCUUUUUGCCUCAAUCCGUGGGUCAAAACGAACCAAGGGAUCUGGAAGAGCUGGUGCGGUGCUCCCACUGUUCUGCAGUGCCCGUGGCGGAAUGUUCUAGUAUCCAACCUAACCUGAAUCCGGUCCCGCUGGUGUGUUCAGAAGGAGCUGGGACAGGCUUCACACAGGCAUCAAGAGUGUCAGAUAGUCCUCCCAGUGGGAAGCUUUGCAGAAGUGCACAGAUGUUUCAGGUCUUACGAAGUAGCCUGCCUUGGCCUUGAACUUGUGAUGCACCUGCAUCUGCCUCCCUAAUGCUGAAGUCACGGGUUGUGCACCAGGAUGCCCAGAUAACGUUUAACUUCCAGCUACUUCUAGACUUGGAGGGAAGCUGCGAGUGUGCUUACAAUAGGAAAAUGGCCCCGCAAUGAUUUAUUCCUGCCGUGGGUCUCAAGUUCGAGGCCAGCAGAAGAAAGAUCCCAUCUCAAAACAAAAAGAAAAAAAGAAAAAAAAAAGCAAAAAAGAAAAAGAAAAGAAAAUGGCUGGCAGCUGGUGGGAUGGUUUGGUGGGUGAAGGCGUCUGAUGUCAGUCCUGACCCCCAACUCCAAGUCUGAUGUACUUCCACCAUGAGAAUAGCAAGUGCUUUCCCACAGACUCGUGAACGUGAACGCUUGGUCCCUAGGUGAUGGUACUGUUUGGGAAGGUACGAGACCUCUUAUGGGAGGAAGGAUGCCUCUGGGGCGGGCUUUGAGAGCGUAUAGCCCUGCCAGACAUCAGUUUGUCAUCUGUGCUCUCCUGUGUAGCUGAAGCUGCGAGUUUUCAGCUCCCUGCCCUGCACACCGGCUGCCAUGCCUGCUGUGGACCACGCGUUUGGAACCGUAUGCCCAAACAAGUAUGUUUUAUGACUGUGUAACUCAGGCUGGCUCCUAACUUGCAAUCCUCCUGCCUCCGUCUCCCAAGUGCUGGGAUUACAGAUGUGUGCCGCCAUGCUCGCUCUCAAUAAAUACGUUUUCAGGAAAUGAGUUUUAAGUAGCUUUAGUAUGGUAGAAUCCCACUUGUGUUCCUAUUCACUUUCUGUCUUACAGUGUUUAGGGUGAUGGAAUUAGAUAAUUUUCUGUUGUGGCAAGGGCCCGGGGACGACCUUUGUACACACAUCUGUGCACGAAUCUCUGAGUUUCCAGAGGGCGUUUCUCUUUUCCUUUUUUAAAAAAAGAUUUCUUUAACUUUCUUGAGAUUAUAAUAUAAUUACAUCAUUUCCAAGGUUACUGAUGACAAAUUGUUGGCUGGAAACGUUUGUAAUCUGUUGGGGCAUUGGUGGCACACGUCUUUAAUCUCAGCACCCGGGAGGCGGAG